GUACCCCAAACCCCUCAUCCCAGGCCCCACCCCAGAGCCUGACCCCCAGCCCAGAGCCCUGACCCCCUCCCACACCCUGAAUUCCUCAUUCCUGGCCCCACCCCGCAGCCUAUUGAUGUGGUUUUGUGCAAAUUGUGAUAGAGACACCUUAUUUGUUAGAGAUAGAGGGAUAGAGCCUCAGCUGGUGUGAAUUGUCAUAGCUCUAUUGAUUUCAACAAAGGAAGCUGUGACAAUUCACACUAGCUGAGGAUUUGCUGCCCUAGAGAUUACACUUCUAAUUUAAAAGUGGUAUUGAUUGAAAUGUAUAUGCCAUGUUGUUAGAUGUUCUCUUAUGUUUCUGAGCUUCUAUGUUUAUGUUAGCCCUUCCUCUCUACUUUUCAGAAAAUAAUAGAACUCAGAGUUACUAUAGAAUUGGGAUACAAGUUGAGGAGAGCAACAGGUCUGGCCACUGGGAUCAAUAUCUGUGGAUUUCCUAUGCCUGUGAUCUAUGCAUAGGAUCUAUGCCUGUGAUCCUAUGCAUCUGAUGAAUGUUGAUUGAUGAAAACAGAAAUGAGUAAGAAAGAACAGAGUAAAACUAAUUACUCUUUCUCUGCAACUUGUUUUUAGGACUUUAAAUUCUGAAACAUUAUUUGUUUGUCAUUGUGUAUUAGGUUAUUUUAAAUUACAAACUGUUUAAAAUGUCUUGCUAACAGCUACAAUGGUUCAGCUUUUAUAAAUUGGUUACCGCACAGAAAUCUGAAAGUACAAAGUAAACCAGCUUGCUGGCUCACUAAAGUUUCUGAUGUGUUCUUGAGAGAGGAGAUGAUACAAAACCAUCCUCAAAAUGUAAUUUGACAAUCUGUUUUUUGGUUGUUUAUUAUAUGGUAUCCAUAUGCUAUAAUUUUGUGUGGUUCAUAGUUACAAAAGUUAAAAACUAAAAUUUUCAGUAGUUGGAGUGAAUGCUGUCUCAUGCAUCUUUUUAUGUAAAAUAUUUUUAAAUAGUCUGUGGUAAAACACUUAAUUUCUUUUGACAGGUUUAUUACUUAUAAUGGUUCUCAGAGAAUCUGAUUUGAAUGAAUUUAAGCCAACAGUAAAGUAGCCUGAAAUACCAAGUGUGUUUAAUAGUGUUACCUAUGGAAAUGUGAGAUACAUAGUUAAUAACAAGGUACAAAUUCUGCCCACCUCUGUGUUUGGUUUCUGAAAUAUAAUUUAUAUUAUUUGGUGUCUAGUCUCACCACCAAGAAGAAAAAUGUAUAUCAGCAUUUAAAGAAAUAUGAUUCAAUAGCAGACUCAUGUGUUUGUAGCAUGAAUUAGUUUUUGAUGGUUGUGAAGGCUGACUCUUGCCUUAUAAGCCCUUGUUUUCACAUGCUCAUAACUUUCUGGAAAAUUCUUCCUUUCAUCUGGAAUUUUCCAUAUGUGAUCCCAGCCAUAAAGUGAGGUUUUUUUUCAAGUUAGAGCAAAAUCUUUUCACCCCAUUUAACUGUAGAAGAGUGAAAAAAUAUUUCUAUUAAAAAAGACUGUAACCCUAAACCUGUGACAACGUAUACAUGCACUUAGCUGUGUGCAUGUGAAUAUUUCCAUAACUGCCACAUACAUAUCUUUGUUAGAUUAGGGUCUUUCAGCCCCAUUAGCAUAAACAGUAAAUCAAAAAUGCCUGAGAUUUACAAGAUGAAACUUUCUAAGUAGUUAGUCCUCAGUGAGGUCAAUUUACAUAGCAAUACACACAAACAUACAAUAAUUUAAAUUAAAAAAUAAUACAGUUUCAAGCAAUUGACUAAUCAGUUUUACACAUGUGCACUCAUUUUAGAAUUAUUUAUGGGACUAAAUAGCGGCAUAAUAACAAUCUUAAUCAGUUUCUAUAUAUAAGGUUUUGUGCUGUUAUUUCCUUGUGAAGAUCUAUAAUUGCACAUACUUUUCCCUAUGCAACAGUGGGAGAAUACAGGAAAAUAAUCAGAGAUAUGAGAGGGUUAGGUUUAAUCUCCUUUUUUUACUUUUCCUUAACUUUAAUGGGAAUUGGGUGCCCAGAUCUCUUAGCUUUUAAACUCUGAGCUAUAUUCAAUAUUAAGAAUGUAGUGAUCCCAGCUAUGCUAUCAGAUAUGUCCACACAACUCCAGUUGACUUAAAAGGAUGCUGAAUGGUUUUCUCUUGAACAAAUUCAAACCUAGUGUGCAAAAGUGCAACUUAAUUGAUAUUAGUGAAUUUACAUUAGUGAAUACAGGAGUGAAUUUGAACGCAUGACCCUAAUCCCACAAACAUUAAUGCAUAUGCUUAUCUUUGAGUAUGUAAGUAAUUCCAUUGACUUCAGUAGGACAAUUCAUAUGGUUAAAGUUCUAUUCUAUAUAGGUUUUUAUGCCGUGCACAUUGCCAUAGGAUCUGAGUGCCUUUCAGUAGUGAAUUAAGCAACAUGACUAACAUCUGCCACAUAUUUGUUCUCUCAUCCUCUCCCCAGGGGAAGUAGUGUGUGCAGUGGAAUGUUUUAGUUUGGAUUUUAAAAAAUAAUAUAUACUACGUUUUGCUAGAUGCUUAUGUUAGAGAAGGCAACGUCAAAGAAAGGAGCCUUGAACUUAGAGCAGAAGGUGCUGAGCUUUGUGAUGGUCCUUAGUUCCUGCGGGAGUCCAUUCCACAGUCUUGGCCCAGUCCCUGAGAAAGUAGGCACACCAGUCUUCACAGGAGCAGACCUAAAAUUGUAAUUUUACUGUUAUAGUAAGUCAAUUUUAAAUAAUAUAAUAGGAGAUAGUAUAGAUUCAGAAUUGUCUGUUACACUGACUAGUAUAGCUACAGUAAUAGUUUGCUAAUAUUACAAAUUAUACAUUUUUAAUCAGUAAAAGUAUUAGAUAAUUAAAUCAUGUAGUAAUAACAAUUUAAAAGAGCAAAUGUCGCCCAGUCAUAAAUAGUUUAUUCAUUAUAACAGUCAUAGCCUACCUUACUGUCCAGAGCAAAAAAACUAAUAGCUGUGGGGUACUAAAUUCACAAUACACAAAAUACACAAACAUUGCCUGACUUACUGACCCAAUCCAGCUCCCAUUGCGGGCAAUGGAAGGACUCCCUUUGGCUUCAGUUGGAGUUGGAUCAGUUUAUAUGUAAGAUCUUGGGCAAGUCAUUUGACCUUCUUGUAUGUUAGUCAAACUAGGGAAUAAUCCUGCAUUCCUUGCAUGCCCAAACUCUCAGAGUAAGUAUAGACACAAUAAAUCAACUGCUAAGCGCUCUCCCGUCGACUCCGAUACUCCACCAAAAAGAGAAGUGUAAGCAGAGUCGACGGGAGAGCAUCAGCUGUCAACUUACCGCAGUGAAGACACCGCGGUAAGUAGAUCUAAGUACGUUGACUUCAGCUAUGCUAUUCACGUAGCUGAAGUUGCAUAUCUUAGAUCAACCCUGCACGGUAGUCUAGACAAGCCCUAAGUUUUAGAUGCACAAGAAAUACAGGAUCAAGACUUAGUUGUACAAUAGCUGUACAAUCGGGUGAAAGCAAAUUUGCAAGGACUAGACAGAUGAUAGGGCUUAGAGUAAGUAAGAACGUUAUUUUGAGGAUUAAUAUUGCAAGAUUUUCAAAUACAGAAUCAUGCAAUUUUGCAGAAACUAUUACAGAUCAGAACUGACUCUUGAUUAUUAAAAGUGAAGCUGUUCCAUCCUAAAGUAAAAUGAGACACCUAUAUUAAAAAUACACAAAUGUAACUUUAUUUUUAAAAUACUAUUUUAUUAUAAACUGGUAUAUAUAACAUUCAUAUUUAGUAUAAGCAGCCAUGAACAAGGUAAAGAUUUAAAAAAGUAAAUUUGUGAAAUGAUUUAUACAUAAAUAUACAAUAACCCUUCCUCUCCAAGUCUUUUUAUUUAAUCUUUGGCAAGUGAGUAUUGCUUUUAGUAGUAUUUUACUAUAGCAUUUCUGAAUUUCUUCACAGAAGUACUAAACAUUAUAAUAUUAAUAUUCUUUGAGAUUAUUUUCAUUUUGUCUAAUUCCAUAUAUUCCACACACAUUCCCUGAUCGAUGUGUACACCUCACUCCCAUCACUUUUAAUGGGACUGAGUUUUUACAUCAAUGGAGAACAUAUGUGCACAAAAAGGGAAACUUUCAGAUAUGGGACUAAAGUUAAGCAUCUACAUUUAUAUUUAGGCAAAUACACACGUAGCCUGACUUUCAGAGAUCCUAAGCAUACCCUGCAGCUAUUAAUUUCAAGCUCCCACAUUUCAAAAUUUUGGCCAAAAACUGCAGGAUUGGAUUUAAUAUUUGACGUCAGAGGAUAAUCAUGCAAAUCCCUUAAUCCAAUGUUUGAGUAUGAUUCUUGAUCCAAUAAAUGAGAACUUUAUCUGAAUAAGGACAGUAUUUGUACAUUAACAUUCUUCUUUCAGACAUCCUACAAGACUCAUAUAUCCAAGACUCACUUAUCCAAGCAAAAUAUUUUCCAGCAGCCCAGGCCAAUUGAAGAUUCUGCUAUGUAUCAUAGGAAGAAUAAGAAAAUAAUAGUUUAAAAUUGUUGCUCUAGCUUUGUAAACAAAAGAUCAGUGUUCAUGUUUUUCCUCUGCAAGAAAUAAAACUUUUGUGAUUAGUAGUAAAAACAUAUUCUGCAGCUUAAGUAAAACCACCCCCUAUUUGUGAAA